rnacentral:rRNA from 1 species
UACGUAGGGUGCAAGCGUUGUCCGGAAUUAUUGGGCGUAAAGAGCUCGUAGGCGGUCUGUCAUGUCGGAUGUGAAAAUCCAGGGCUUAACCCUGGACCUGCAUUCGAUACGGGCAGACUAGAGUUCGGUAGGGGAGACUGGAAUUCCUGGUGUAGCGGUGAAAUGCGCAGAUAUCAGGAGGAACACCGGUGGUGUAGACGGCUUACUGGACCACGACUGACACUGAGGCACGAAAGCGUGGGUAGCAAACAGG